rnacentral:rRNA from 1 species
UACGGAGGAUCCGAGCGUUAUCCGGAUUUAUUGGGUUUAAGGGGUGCGCAGGCGGGAGAUUAAGUCGGCGGUGAAAUUUUGCAGCUCAACUGUAAAAGUGCCUUCGAAACUGGUUUCCUUGAGUGUGGAUGAAGUAGGCGGAAUUUGCGGUGUAGCGGUGAAAUGCAUAGAUAUCACGAGGAACUCCGAUUGCGCAGGCAGCUUACUAAACCAUAACUGACGCUCAGGCACGAAGGCGUGGGGAUCAAACAGGAUUAGAUACCCUGGUA